rfam:Brachypodium distachyon strain Bd21 chromosome 4, whole genome shotgun sequence.
CUAGUAUUCCCUCCGAUACAUAUCACUUGCCGCAGCUUUGUCGACAUACGCAUGUAUCUAAACGCGCUUCAUUGUGUAGGUACAUGCGUAUUUAGACAACUCUGCGACAAGUAAUAUGGAUCGGAGGGAAUACACC